GUUGUGGACGUUGAGCUCCUUUCGGUCCAAAAAGGGGUGUUGCUGUGGGUCGAUUGAGCUGCUGGGUCAUGGAUCCCGUUAGCCUACUCCAUAUGCUCAUUAUUCAGCUCGAGAUCUGAAAGAAACUACUCCAAUAUGUGCUUGUGGUAUGUAUGUAGAUAGGAGAAAGAUGGAGUACUCGUUGGGGUAGGCUUACGGCUUGCAUGCCCCAGGAGCUGCAUCAACCCUACAUGGACCCUCUUUGGAUUGAAGGGAGCUCUGCAUCUUUGGUCA
rnacentral:pre_miRNA from 1 species